rnacentral:misc_RNA from 1 species
UCCGGUUUAUCACGCGGCAGUCUCGCUAGAGUCCCCAACUGAAUGAUGGUAACUAGCGAUAGGGGUUGCGCUCGUUGCCGGACUUAACCGAACACCUCACAGCACGAGCUGACGACAGCCAUGCAGCACCUGUCACCGAGCUCCUUCGUGAGAAGGCACCCCCGUGUUUCCACAGGGUUCUCGGGAUGUCAAGCCUGGGUAAGGUUCUGCGCGUUGCUUCGAAUUAAGCCACAUGCUCCGCCGCUUGUGCGGGCCCCCGUCAAUUCCUUUGAGUUUUAGCCUUGCGGCCGUACUCCCCAGGCGGGGCACUUAAUGCGUUAGCUGCGGCACGGAACCCGUUGAUAAGGCCCCACACCUAGUGCCCAACGUUUACGGCGUGGACUAC